ACGGCAGAGACCCCAACCAUGAUGGAAACACGUCCUUGAUUCUGUUGCUUUCCAUGUUCACAAGUUGCAAAGCUUUGCAGUUGAUCAAAGACUUUGGAAGGUUUCCCUCGAGCUGGUUGCGGCUGACGUCUAGUGAACGUAACUCGAUAGCAUUGGCAAAGAUAUCUGGAAGUGUUCCGCUGAAGCUGUUAUUGCGGAGAAUCAGGUCACUAAAGGAAGCAAUGGAAUCCUCCAAGCAUAGAGGAAUGGAGCCGUUGAAGAGAUUGUUGGACAAAUCUAAGAAGCUUAACCCUUUAGUAUUGCAAAUCCAAUGAGGGAAUGGUCCUUGAAAUGAGUUUGAAUUCAGAUCCAACGCUUGGAUCAGUGUUUCUUGUGAAGGGUUUUCAAAGCUGCUGAAAAAGUUGUUAGAAAGUGUCACCGUUGUCAAUCUCCAUAAGCGUUCACAAGUUGCAAAGCUUUGCAGUUGAUCAAAGACUUUGGAAGGUUUCCCUCGAGCUGGUUGCGGCUGACGUCUAGUGAACGUAACUCGAUAGCAUUGGCAAAGAUAUCUGGAAGUGUUCCGCUGAAGCUGUUAUUGCGGAGAAUCAGGUCACUAAAGGAAGCAAUGGAAUCCUCCAAGCAUAGAGGAAUGGAGCCGUUGAAGAGAUUGUUGGACAAAUCUAAGAAGCUUAACCCUUUAGUAUUGCAAAUCCAAUGAGGGAAUGGUCCUUGAAAUGAGUUUGAAUUCAGAUCCAACGCUUGGAUCAGUGUUUCUUGUGAAGGGUUUU
rnacentral:lncRNA from 1 species